AUUGAACGCUGGCGGCAUGCCUUACACAUGCAAGUCGAACGGCAGCACGGGUGCUUGCACCUGGUGGCGAGUGGCGAACGGGUGAGUAAUACAUCGGCACAUGUCCUGUAGUGGGGGAUAGCCCUGCGAAAGCCGGAUUAAUACCGCAUACGAUCUACGGAUGAAAGCGGGAGACCGUCGGGCCUCGCGCUUUAGGGUUGGCCUAUGGCUGAUUAGCUAGUUGGUGGGGUAAAGGCCUACCAAGGCGACGAUCAGUAGCUGGUCUGAGAGGACGACCAGCAACACUGGAACUGAGAAACGGCCAAGAUUCCUAGGGAAGGCAGAAGGGGGGAAUUUUGGACAAUGGGAGAAAGCCUGAUCAAGCAAUGCGGGGUGGGUGAAGAAGGCCUUCGGGUUGUAAAGCACUUUUGUCGGGAAAGAAAUCAUUGGCUCUAAUACAGUCGGGGGAUGACGGUACCGGAAGAAUAAGCACCGGCUAACUACGU
rnacentral:rRNA from 1 species